CCUACGGGGGGCAGCAGUAGGGAAUUUUCCGCAAUGGGCGAAAGCCUGACGGAGCAAUACCGCGUGAGGGAUGACUGCCUAUGGGUUGUAAACCUCUUUUUUCAGGGAGGAAUAAAUGACGUGUACCUGAAGAAUAAGCAUCGGCUAACUCCGUGCCAGCAGCCGCGGUAAGACGGAGGAUGCAAGUGUUAUCCGGAAUCACUGGGCGUAAAGCGUCUGUAGGUGGCUCGACAAGUCAACUGUUAAAUCUUGAAGCUCAACUUCAAAAUCGCAGUCGAAACUAUCGGACUAGAGUAUAGUAGAGGUAAAGGGAAUUUCCAGUGGAGCGGUGAAAUGCGUAGAGAUUGGAAAGAACACCAAUGGCGAAGGCACUUUACUGGGCUAUUACUGACACUCAGAGACGAAAGCUAGGGUAGCAAAUGGGAUUAGAUACCCUUGUAGUC
rnacentral:rRNA from 1 species